rnacentral:tRNA from 1 species
GGAGCUGUGGCGCAGCGGUAGCGCGUCUGAUUCCAGUCAUUGGAACUUCCAGAAGGUCAUCCGUUCAAAUCGUGAGUUCCA